GAUGAACGCUGGCGGCGUGCCUAAUACAUGCAAGUCGAGCGAACAGACGAGGAGCUUGCUCCUUCGACGUUAGCGGCGGACGGGUGAGUAACACGUAGGUAACCUACCUAUAAGACUGGGAUAACUUCGGGAAACCGGAGCUAAUACCGGAUAAUAUUUCGAACCGCAUGGUUCGAUAGUGAAAGAUGGCUUUGCUAUCACUUAUAGAUGGACCUGCGCCGUAUUAGCUAGUUGGUAAGGUAACGGCUUACCAAGGCAACGAUACGUAGCCGACCUGAGAGGGUGAUCGGCCACACUGGAACGGAGACACGGUCCAGACUCCUGCGGGAGGCAGCAGUAGGGAAUCUUCCGCAAUGGUCGAAAGCCUGACGGAGCAACGCCGCGUGAGUGGUGAAGGUCUUCGGAUCGUAAAACUCUGUUAUUAGGUAAGAACAAACGUGUAAGUAACUGUGCACGUCUUGACGGUACCUAAUCAGAAAGCCACGGCUAACUACGUG
rnacentral:rRNA from 1 species